UCCCACAACGCCUGCCUGUCCCCACUUCUGACCCCACAGGCCCCUUGCUCCCCGCACUCGGAACCCGCCCUCCUCCCUCUGGAACCCCAGAACUCCCUACCCUAACCCUCCACCUGCGCACCCCCCCUCCCGCCGGGAAGAGCUGCUCCCCUCCCCUUGGAACUCCUUAAAUGUCUCCCUUCUCUGGUCCCAGGCGUGUCCCUCCAGCCUAGUUCUGUCUCCCCACCCCAGACCUGUCUCCCCCAACUCCAGACCCCCUCACACUCACACCUGUCCCCCCACCCCUGACCUAUCCUCCCACCCAGAUCCUCGCCCCCAGACCUACCCUCUCCCAGACCUGUGCCCCCACCCGGGCCUCCUCAUCCCCAGGCCUGUUCACUGAGGUCCACCUACCCUUAGACCUGUCCCUCACCUGGAUCUUCCCACCCAGCCCUCCUGCUGACCUUGCUCCCUGGUGCCCCUCUCCCAGCAGGUGCCGACAGCCUGAAGGAGGAGCUGGAGGCCAUCAUGGAGCCAGGCCAGAAGCUGUCCUCUGCCUUGUCGGAUGGAGACCGCCGAGAAGAAAAUAGUCUGCACCCGCCUUUGCUUCCCAGAGUCGGGCAGCGCUCAGACGGGCUGUCCCCGCUGUCCUCAGCCUUAAGUGGGCGCGAGGCCAAGGUCACAGAAUCAAAGCAAGGAGUUUCCCAAGCCUCGGCAUCUUCCCCCAAACUGGACAGAUACAAAAUAGCAAGGCAGUUGACAGAAAAAGCCAUCAGGGAAAAGAAGAUUUUCUCCAUCUACGGACACUACCCGGUGAUCCGGGCCGCUCUGCGGAAGAAGGGCUGGGUGGAGAAGAAGUUCCACUUCCUUCCCAAGGCCCUUCCCAGUGUGGAGGUCGGAGGGGAAGGGGCCGCUGAUAACAAAGGCACUGACAUCAAAGAAAACCAAGCAAUAGCCCUGGAGAAGAUGGAGGACAUCCACAGUGUGAUGUCUAGGUUGGUAAAGAACGAGACGCCGUACCUUCUCUGGACCAUCAAGAGGGACGUCGUGGACUACCACAGCCUGACCUAUGACCAGAUGCUGAACCACUACGCCAAGACCGCCUCCUUCACCACCAAGAUUGGGCUGUGUGUGAACAUGCGAAGCCUGCCAUGGUACGUCCAGGCGAACCCCGACUCCUUCUUCCCGCGCUGCUACAGCCUCUGCACUGAGAGCGAAAAGCAGGAGUUCCUGGAGGACUUCCGGCGCACAGUGGCUUCUAGCAUCCUCAAGUGGGUGGUCAGCCACCAGAACUACAACAGAAACAGGUCCAGGAGGCGGGAAGAGGCCAGGCAAAGCGACACUGGCCCCCGGAAAGAUCCUGAGGAUGCAGAUGAGAAGUUCAGGAGCCUCUCGGGGCAGCUUGUGGACACAGCCUGCAAGGUGUGCCAGGCCUACCUGGGGCAGCUGGAGCACGAGGACAUCGACGUGUCCGAGAGCAGCAAGGAGGAGCUCUCCGAGGAUGAGUGGAAUGACCUGACCCAGCAGUACUACUCCCUUGUCCAUGGCGAUGCUUUCAUCUCCAGUUCAAGGAAUUACUUUUCGCAGUGCCAGGCUCUGCUGAAUAAGAUCACUUCUGUGAACCCCCAGACAGAGAUCGACGGGCUCCGGAACAUCUGGAUCAUCAAACCUGCAGCCAAGUCCCGGGGCCGAGACAUAGUGUGCAUGGACCGGGUGGAGGACAUCCUGGAGCUGGCGGCUGAGGAACUGCCCACCAAGGACAACAAGUGGGUGGUGCAGAAGUACAUCGAGACGCCCAUGCUCAUCUAUGACACCAAGUUCGACAUCAGGCAGUGGUUCCUCGUCACAGACUGGAACCCCCUGACCAUCUGGUUCUACAAGGAGAGCUACCUGCGGUUUUCCACACAGCGCUUCUCCCUGGACAAUCUGGACAGUGCCAUCCACCUGUGUAACCACUCCAUCCAGAAGCGGCUCAGGAAUGACCAGGGGCGCAGCCCACUGCUGCCUGGCCACAACAUGUGGUCCAGCUCCAGGUUCCAGGAGUACCUGCAGAAGCGGGGCCGUGGGGCCAUGUGGGGCAGCGUCAUCUACCCCUCCAUGAAGAGGGCCAUCACCAACGCCAUGAAGGUGGCCCAGGACCACGUGGAGGCCCGCAAGAACAGCUUCGAACUCUACGGCGCGGACUUCAUCCUCGGGCGGGACUUCAAGCCCUGGCUGAUCGAGAUCAAUUCUAGUCCCACCAUGCACCCAUCCACCCCUGUCACAGCCCAGCUCUGUGCCCAGGUACAGGAGGACACCAUCAAGGUGGUGGUGGACCGCAAGGUCGAUCGCAACUGUGACAUCGGCAACUUUGAGCUUCUGUGGAGACAGCCCGUGGUGGAGCUGCCGCCCUUCAACGGAUCCGACCUCUGCGUGGAGGGCAUCGGCAUGAAGAAGGCCAAGAGGCAAAUGCCGCCCAUUACCAACUUCAAUUUCCCGGCUUCCCUCUGUGACGCUCAGCUACUCAAAGUGCGGUGCCCCUCGGCCGUGCCGGGCCUGGUGGGCGGCGCGCCGCGCGGGGCUGUGCAGGACUGGAAGCGGGAAGACGCGAAGGCGCUCUGCUCCCCGCUGCCCGCGCCCCCGCAGCGGCCGGCAGAGCGAAGCUGCAGAGCGAGGCCGGCGCACGCCGAGGCGGGCGGGAAGCUCGCGCUGCCCGCCCGCGCCUGCCCGCGCGCGGACAGUAAGGCCCCCAAGAGCACCUUCUCCAAAGCGCAGCCCGCCGAACUCCUGGAUGCGAGCUCGCUGAGCGUGCGCCCCCUGGCGCCCGCGCCGCAGAGCGCGAAGUCGGUGCAGACCUCGCUGUCCCCAACGCCUCCCGCCACAGCAGGAAUGCAAGCUGGCUCAACGUGCAGCAGAACGGCGGGCCAAAACGCAAGAGCACCCCAGGGAGGCAGAACGGCACUGGAGAGGAUCCAAACGCCUUCCACGAUAAACCUCCGCGAGCCGGGAACAGAAGGGAAUUUAACCCGGGAAGGACCGGAUGUGAAAAGCCCACACGUGCUCAGGCGACCAGGGACAAGACCCGACCCCGCUUUGAAACUCUGGCCCAGCACUGAAGUCCCCGCCCCGAGGACAAGGACCAGCAGCGCGGCACCGGGCGUCCGGAGCGCAGGGUUCCCAGGACAAGAGUGGUUGAUGUCCCCUAGGCCCUGGCCCAUGGAAGGCUGCCCUCAGGAGGAGAGAUGGCCCCAGACGUCCACACUCAGCCAUGUGCUCAGAGAGUCUUCGAGGAGCUGGAUGGUGCAGGUCCAGUGUGACCAUGACCUGGGUGACCCGGGGCGGCUCCCACUGGGACAGUGUGGACAGCUCUAUGCCCCAGGGUCACCUGACCCCCACCUCUGGAGAAGUGGAGCUAGCACCUGCUCCUGGGGAGGUCACCGAGGUGUACAGGGGCCUGGUGUCCCUUCCCAGUUCACCCAGGUCUUCCCAGAGAGCCCAGCAGGGUCUGUGAGUGGCACCUGCUGCUGCGCCUGGCAGAGAAGCCCUUCACUGAACCACUGGUCCGCCUGCUCAGAGACGAAGAGGCUGCUUUCUGGGCCAUGUGGUCGGCGUUGGCUGCCGCUUUCCGCCUUGGCUGUACGACAGGAAGUCAGUCGGGUGGUGUGCCCAUCCCACAUUUUUCCUCUUUCUCAAAUUUGUUUUGGUUCUGUUUCUGUUGCCUUUCUGUGUAGAAUUCCAAAUCCGCUUCUCCUCAAGCACGGAAAGAUCCAGCUGGAAUCUCGACUGGUUCUGGGGUUAGAUCCGUGGAGCACUUUGGGAAGGGCUGACCGAGUCUUCAGGUCCUGAACACAGAGCUAUGAGCUGUGAGCUGCGCUGGCUGUAGAUUUCUGUUCAGGCCAGGUCAAGGUCGAGGCAACUUGCUGGGACAAAAAAUCCGCACUGACAGUUCAUUCUGAGUGCUUUCUCCCUGUCCUCCUUCCCUCCUGCAGUGUGUCCCACCCCGGGGACCACUGCUCUUCGGUCCACACUGAUAUGAAGCAAUUCAGACCCUCAGGAUGACACUGAGUGUCUCCCAUUGCAACCCUGGACGGAGAACAGCAUGGGACACCCAGAGUGUGGCCUCUAAAUCACCUCUUCAACAACCUCCGACCCCCGGUGGGCAGGAUCACAGCUCUGAGACAGGAGCCCCUGUGCUCUCCUUUGCUAGAGGAGCAAUAAAACUUCUUUUUCCUUUUUCUCAAA